UACAAGAAAUAUAGGUUUCGGCCCUAAAAUAGAGCAUCGCUCUCUGUUU
rnacentral:tRNA from 1 species